rnacentral:rRNA from 1 species
UACGUAGGGUGCGAGCGUUAAUCGGAAUUAUUGGGCGUAAAGCGUGCGCAGGCGGCGCGUUAAGACAGGUGUGAAAGCCCCGAGCUUAACUUGGGAAUUGCGCUUGUGACUGGCGUGCUGGAGUGUGGCAGAGGGAGGUGGAAUUCCACGUGUAGCAGUGAAAUGCGUAGAGAUGUGGAGGAACACCGAUGGCGAAGGCAGCCUCCUGGGCCAGCACUGACGCUCAUGCACGAAAGCGUGGGGAGCAAACAGG